rnacentral:rRNA from 1 species
UACAGAGGGUGCGAGCGUUGUCCGGAAUCACUGGGCGUAAAGGGCGCGUAGGUGGCGACCCAAGUCGAUGGUGAAAGCUCGCCGCUCAACGGCGAGUCGGCCACCGAUACUGGGUUGCUGGAGCACUGUAGAGGCUCAUGGAAGUUCCGGGUGGUAGCGGUGGAAUGCGUAGAGAUCCGGAAGAACGACCGGUGGCGAAGGCGGUGAGCUGGGCAGUUGCUGACACUGAGGCGCGGACAGCGUGGGGAGCAAAC